rnacentral:rRNA from 3 species
AGACCCGAAACCCGGUGAUCUAGCCAUGGGCAGGUUGAAGGUUGGGUAACACUAACUGGAGGACCGAACCGACUAAUGUUGAAAAAUUAGCGGAUGACCUGUGGCUGGGGGUGAAAGGCCAAUCAAACCGGGAGAUAGCUGGUUCUCCCCGAAAGCUAUUUAGGUAGCGCCUCGUGAAUUCAUCUCCGGGGGUAGAGCACUGUUUCGGCUAGGGGGCCAUCCCGGCUUACCAACCCGAUGCAAACUGCGAAUACCGGAGAAUGUUAUCACGGGAGACACACGGCGGGUGCUAACGUCCGUCGUGAAGAGGGAAACAACCCAGACCGCCAGCUAAGGUCCCAAAGUCAUGGUUAAGUGGGAAACGAUGUGGGAAGGCCCAGACAGCCAGGAUGUUGGCUUAGAAGCAGCCAUCAUUUAAAGAAAGCGUAAUAGCUCACUGGUCGAGUCGGCCUGCGCGGAAGAUGUAACGGGGCUAAACCAUGCACCGAAGCUGCGGCAGCGACACUGUGUGUUGUUGGGUAGGGGAGCGUUCUGUAAGCCUGUGAAGGUGUGUCGUGAGGCAUGCUGGAGGUAUCAGAAGUGCGAAUGCUGACAUAAGUAACGAUAAAGCGGGUGAAAAGCCCGCUCGCCGGAAGACCAAGGGUUCCUGUCCAACGUUAAUCGGGGCAGGGUGAGUCGACCCCUAAGGCGAGGCCGAAAGGCGUAGUCGAUGGGAAACGGGUUAAUAUUCCCGUACUUGGUGUUACUGCGAAGGGGGGACGGAGAAGGCUAUGUUGGCCGGGCGACGGUUGUCCCGGUUUAAGCGUGUAGGUGUGUGUUCCAGGUAAAUCCGGUUCACUUUAACACUGAGGCGUGACGACGAGGCACUACGGUGCUGAAGCAACAAAUGCCCUGCUUCCAGGAAAAGCCUCUAAGCAUCAGGUAACAUCAAAUCGUACCCCAAACCGACACAGGUGGUCAGGUAGAGAAUACCAAGGCGCUUGAGAGAACUCGGGUGAAGGAACUAGGCAAAAUGGUGCCGUAA